AGGUGACACUUCAUCGUAGAUAGAAUCCAGAUUGGAGUAAACAGAUGCGUCUGGAGAAUCUCUGUAAUGGAGGGUGAAACACGGAAGCCCUGUCCACGUUGCAGCAUGUAGCUGAGAAGAAAACGAAGAUAGCAUGGCCCAUAGCUCACAGCUUCCUCUCAUGCUCAGGAAUUGCCACCAGUGCCAUUACAUUGGCCUCCUCUCAUAUGCCUCUGGAAACCACAUGUGGCUGGCCUCUGUUUGUAACAGUUUGGCUAUGGUUGCUGGCUCCUCUUGGACAUGUUUUUAGAACUUAAAGAAACAAAGGUUUAUUAGGACAUAUUUAAAAUAAAACUAUUCUCUUCUCAUUUAGU
rnacentral:lncRNA from 1 species